GAUCAUGGCUCAGAACGAACGCUGGCGGCGCGUUUAAGCGUGCAAGUCGAGCGGCAAGGGCCUUCGGGCCCCUAGAGCGGCGGACGGGUGAGUAACACGUGGACAAUCUGCCCCCCGGCCCGGGAUAGCCCAGGGAAACCUGGAUUAAUACCGGAUGAGACGGGACCCGCGAUGGCGGGACCCGGGAAAGGCGCUGCGGCGCCGCCGGGGGAUGAGUCUGCGUCCCAUUAGCUAGACGGCGGGGUAACGGCCCACCGUGGCGACGAUGGGUAGCCGGCCUGAGAGGGUGGACGGCCACAUUGGAACUGAGACACGGUCCAGACUCCUACGGGAGGCAGCAGCUAAGAAUCUUCCGCAAUGGGCGAAAGCCUGACGGAGCCGACGCCGCGUGAACGAAGAAGGCCGUGAGGUUGUAAAGUUCUUUUCGGGAGGGGGAACAACCGUGGCAGGGAAUGGCCGCGGGAUGACGUGAAUCCCGGAAUAAGCCCCGGCUAACUACGUGCCAGCAGCCGC
rnacentral:rRNA from 1 species